rnacentral:lncRNA from 1 species
AGGAGUUAGUUUCUUGAUUCUUUAUCUCCGGUAUCUGCUCUAGAAAGAGUUUCAGUGCAAACUCUUCUCAUACUAUCAAGCCGGAAUAACUCGACUGUAAGGAGAGGUUUAAAUAACUCGUGGAACCUUCUACUCUCAUUUAUCAGUAUCAUUUCGUUGGACCUCUUCUUUUUAAGAGAUAGGGGCUACAUUUUCUAUUCCCGCCGCUUUUGUUGUAUCGCUAAA